GAUGAACGCUAGCUACAGGCUUAACACAUGCAAGUCGAGGGACCGGCGCACGGGUGAGUAACACGUAUCCAACCUGCCCUUUACUCGGGGAUAGCCUUUCGAAAGAAAGAUUAAUACUCGAUGUUAAGGGUGGGGAUUCGUUCAAUUAGGUUGUUGGGGAGGUAACGGCUCACCAAGCCGUCGAUGGAUAGGGGUUCUGAGAGGGAGGCACCCCAGAAUGGAACGAAGGCACGGUCCAAACUCGUACGGGAGGCGGCGUUGUGUAAUGAUGUGGAAGGGGCGGUAGCCGGACCCAGCCAAGUAGCGUGAAGGAUGAAGGCUUAUGGGUCGUAAACUUCUAGUGUAGAAGAAGGUGUAUUAUAUGAAAAAAGAUCGGCUAACUCCGUGCCAGCAGCCGCGGUAAUAC
rnacentral:rRNA from 1 species